UACGAAGGGGGCUAGCGUUGCUCGGAAUGACUGGGCGUAAAGGGCGCGUAGGCGGUUUGGACAGUCAGAUGUGAAAUUCCUGGGCUCAACCUGGGGGCUGCAUUUGAUACGUUCGGACUAGAGUGGGGAAGAGGGUCGUGGAAUUCCCAGUGUAGAGGUGAAAUUCGUAGAUAUUGGGAAGAACACCGGUGGCGAAGGCGGCGACCUGGUCCUUGACUGACGCUGAGGCGCGAAAGCCAGGGGAGCGAACGGG
rnacentral:rRNA from 1 species